GACGAACGCUGGCGGCGUGCCUAAUACAUGCAAGUAGAACGCUGAAGAGAGGAGCUUGCUCUUCUUGGAUGAGUUGCGAACGGGUGAGUAACGCGUAGGUAACCUGCCUUGUAGCGGGGGAUAACUAUUGGAAACGAUAGCUAAUACCGCAUAACAAUGGAUGACACAUGUCAUUUAUUUGAAAGGGGCAAUUGCUCCACUACAAGAUGGACCUGCGUUGUAUUAGCUAGUAGGUGAGGUAAUGGCUCACCUAGGCGACGAUACAUAGCCGACCUGAGAGGGUGAUCGGCCACACUGGGACUGAGACACGGCCCAGACUCCUACGGGAGGCAGCAGUAGGGAAUCUUCGGCAAUGGGGGCAACCCUGACCGAGCAACGCCGCGGGAGUGAAGAAGGUUGUCGGAUCGUAAAGCUCUAUUGUAAGUCAAGAACGGGUGUGAGAGUGGAAAGUUCACACUGUGACGGUAGCUUACCAGAAAGGGACGGCUAACUACGUG
rnacentral:rRNA from 1 species